rnacentral:rRNA from 1 species
UACAGAGGUCCCAAGCGUUGUUCGGAUUCACUGGGCGUAAAGGGUGCGUAGGCGGUCGGGUAAGUCUGAUGUGAAAUCUCACAGCUUAACUGUGAAACUGCAUUGGAUACUAUCCGGCUCGAGGAAUGGAGGGGAGACUGGAAUACUUGGUGUAGCAGUGAAAUGCGUAGAUAUCAAGCGGAACACCAGUGGCGAAGGCGAGUCCCUGGACAACACCUGACACUGAGGCACGAAAGCUAGGGGAGCAAACAGG